rnacentral:rRNA from 1 species
GACGAACGCUGGCGGCGUGCUUAACACAUGCAAGUCGAACGGUAAGGCCCUUCGGGGUACACGAGUGGCGAACGGGUGAGUAACACGUGGGUGAUCUGCCCUGCACUUCGGGAUAAGCUUGGGAAACUGGGUCUAAUACCGGAUAGGACCACGGUCUGCAUGGAUUGUGGUGGAAAGCUUUUGCGGUGUGGGAUGGGCCCGCGGCCUAUCAGCUUGUUGGUGGGGUGAUGGCCUACCAAGGCGACGACGGGUAGCCGGCCUGAGAGGGUGUCCGGCCACACUGGGACUGAGAUACGGCCCAGACUCCUACGGGAGGCAGCAGUGGGGAAUAUUGCACAAUGGGCGCAAGCCUGAUGCAGCGACGCCGCGUGGGGGGAU